rnacentral:rRNA from 1 species
GACGAACGCUGGCGGCGUGCUUAACACAUGCAAGUCGAGCAAGUGGAUUCCCUUCGGGGAUGAAGCUAGCGGCGGACGGGUGAGUAACACGUGGGCAACCUGCCUUAUAGAGGGGGAUAGCCUUCCGAAAGGAAGAUUAAUACCGCAUAACAUCAGAUUAUCGCAUGGUAGACUGAUCAAAGGAGCAAUCCGCUAUAAGAUGGGCCCGCGUCGCAUUAGCUAGUUGGUGAGGUAACGGCUCACCAAGGCGACGAUGCGUAGCCGACCUGAGAGGGUGAUCGGCCACAUGGGGACUGAGACACGGCCCAGACUCCUACGGGAGGCAGCAGUGGGGAAUAUUGCACAAUGGGGGAAACCCUGAUGCAGCAACGCCGCGUGAGUGAUGAAGGCCUUCGGGUUGUAAAGCUCUUUGAUCAGGGACGAUAAUGACGGUACCUGAAGAACAAGCCACGGCUAACUGCGUGCCAGCCGCCGCCGUAACAC